UACGAAGGGGGCGAGCGUUGUUCGGAUUUACUGGGCGUAAAGAGCGCGCAGGCGGUCGUUCAAGUCGCGUGUGGAAGCCCCCGGCUCAACUGGGGAGGGUCACGCGAUACUGAUCGACUCGAAGGCAGGAGAGGGAAGUGGAAUUCCCGGUGUAGUGGUGAAAUGCGUAGAUAUCGGGAGGAACACCAGUGGCGAAGGCGACUUCCUGGCCUGUUCUUGACGCUGAGGCGCGAAAGCUAGGGGAGCAAACGGG
rnacentral:rRNA from 1 species